CCUACGGGAGGCAGCAGUGGGGAAUAUUGCACAAUGGGGGAAACCCUGAUGCAGCGACGCCGCGUGAGUGAAGAAGUAAUUCGUUAUGUAAAGCUCUAUCAGCAGGGAAGAAAAUGACGGUACCUGAGUAAGAAGCCCCGGCUAACUACGUCCCAGCAGCCGCGGUAAUACGUAGGGGGCAAGCGUUAUCCGGAUUUACUGGGUGUAAAGGGAGCGUAGACGGCAGUGCAAGUCUGGAGUGAAAGGCGGGGGCUCAACCCCCGAACUGCUCGGGAAACUGUACGGCUGGAGUGCAGGAGGGGUAGGGGGAUUUCGUGGUGGAGGGGUGAAAU
rnacentral:rRNA from 1 species